UUCACCUUCAGCUUGGACAUCAUCUCCUGGCUUCUGGCACAGACUGUUUGGCUUCUGCCUGGGACUCUUCAGCGUUCAGCAUAGACUCUUCAACCUUCCAUCAUAAAGUCUUCAGUGUUCCAUCAUAGACCCAUCAGCCUCCUGAUACAGACUUGCAUGGGACACUGCAGUAAGCUCCAGCCCUUGUGCUGGACCCUUCAACCUCCAGUGUGUAGACAUCCUUUGCACGAUCCCUUAUUCAACUUGUGGCUGACCACUUCUCCUUUCAUCUAAAAGCUGAGCUGUAGAAGAGGUGGCAGAAAAGGGGAGCCUGACCCAAACCAUGUACUCACCCACCCAGCUGAAGAGUGAGGUAUUUUGUCACAGUCAUACAAAGCUGACGCACACAGCUGUCAAUCAGCACAUGGGUGAGUUAUUUUGGAAGUGGAUCCUCCUGCACCAGUCAGCCCUUUAGAGAACUUCAGCUCAGCCAGACACCCCGACUACAACCUCAGAGAGACCAACGGCCAGCUGAGCAGAUCCAAAACUCCUAAACUACACAAACUGUGAAAUAAUAAGCACUUGUUGCUACUAAAGCUGUCAAGACUGAAGACAAUUUGUUUUGCAUAAAUAGAUGAUAAAUAAAGCCACUUGUCACAUGCUUCAGUGUUCUGGCCAUCACUUUGAACAUUUCUAAAUAAUCUCAAUUUUAGUACCUGCACAGAUUAACAAUCAGUUUCUUUGCAAAGCUUUAAGAAA